GUGGAUGUAGUUUAACGGAAGAACACCGGCAAAACCCAGCCGGCGGAACGGGUUCGACUCCUGUCAUCCGCU
rnacentral:tRNA from 1 species